rnacentral:rRNA from 1 species
ACGCACGCUGGCGGCGUGCUUCACACCUGCCAGUCGAACGGAAAGGCCCUGCUUUUGUGGGGUGCUCGAGUGGCGAACGGGUGAGUAACACGUGAGUAACCUGCCCUUGACUUUGGGAUAACUUCAGGAAACUGGGGCUAAUACCGGAUAGGAGCUCCUGCUGCAUGGUGGGGGUUGGAAAGUUUCGGCGGUUGGGGAUGGACUCGCGGCUUAUCAGCUUGUUGGUGGGGUAGUGGCUUACCAAGGCUUUGACGGGUAGCCGGCCUGAGAGGGUGACCGGCAAGGGUGAGACGGGGGUGCGGCGAGGCCGCGGACGGGGGGGAGGCGUGGGUGUGAUAGAAGGAGGGGCGGACGCCCGACGGAGCCAGGCGGGGGGCGGGCUGCGGGCUGUCGGGUAGUAAUCCGCGUCCGGAUGCGAGGGAGGGGGGGGGGGGAUAGGGGGGAAAGAAGCACCGGCUAACUAGGUGCCACCAGCGGCGGUAAUGGCGGAAGAGCAGACGUCUGAAC